rnacentral:rRNA from 1 species
AGCGUUAGACGAGGAGCGAAGUUAGCCAGCGUCAAGGACGAACGAUAGAGAGUCCUUUGACGCGUUAAAAAGUGUGCUAACACACAGCAGUCUGAAUGUUGAGUGUUGAAUAUCUGAUUAGUGGCGGACGGGUGAGUAACGCGUGGGGAACCUGCCCUAUACAGGGGGAUAGCCUCGGGAAACCGGGAUUAAUACCCCAUAAAACUCUAGUAUCGCAUGAUACGUGAGUCAAAGCUGAGGCGGUAUAGGAUGGCCCCGCGUCUGAUUAGCUAGUUGGUGAGGUAACGGCUCACCAAGGCGACGAUCAGUAGCCGGCCUGAGAGGGUGGACGGCCACACUGGAACUGAGACACGGUCCAGACUCCUACGGGAGGCAGCAGUGGGGAAUAUUGCACAAUGGGGGAAACCCUGAUGCAGCGACGCCGCGUGAGCGAAGAAGGCCUUCGGGUCGUAAAGCUCUGUCCUAAGGGAAGAAGAGGACGGUACCUUAGGAGGAAGCCCCGGCUAACUACGUG